AUGUUAAAAGAACAGAUUUCCACACAGAGCU
rnacentral:piRNA from 1 species